AACGUAGGAGACAAACGUUAUCCGGAGUUACUGGGCGUAAAGGGCGUGUAGGCGGCCUGCUAAGUCUGAUGUGAAAUCCCCUCGCUCAACGAGGGAACUGCGUCGGAUACUGGCAGACUCGAAGUACCGGAGAGGAAGGUGGAAUUCCCGGUGUAGCGGUGAAAAUGCGUAGAUAUCGGAAGGAACAUCAGUGGCGAAAGCGGCUUCCUGGACCAGAACUGACGAUCAGGCACGAAAGCGUGGGGAGCA
rnacentral:rRNA from 1 species